rnacentral:sRNA from 1 species
GGGGCUAGUGCGUGGUGGGAAGGGGCGGGAUUCUGCCAGCCGCGGCUGCCGCUGGAGCCGGUGUCCGGGCUGGUGAUGGGGUUAAUUCCCUUUCGUAAGACUCUUACUUGCACCCACCCAGCCCCGCCGUCGCCCCGCCGCGCCGCGCUCCAACCGCCUCCUCCUCCUCAGUAACGCGGUUUCAUCAGUAAGAAACUAAAUCACUGCCUUGUACAAUAAAAAGCUCUAUGUUGGGGUGAUCAGACCCAACACCAGAUCAUGGGGGCGAUGAGUCCGGUGGAGUCAAAGGAAUGAGAAAAAGACAGUUUGAGAGAGAAAGUGGGACCAGGGAGCCUACGCUAUUUAUUGGUGAUCAAACAAAGAAACAGGCCACGGAAAGGUAUGAUAUAUUUGAUCCAAGACAGUCCAUUCCAGUCCAGGAAUCUACAGUGGUGACAAGGACAUGGGACUCCUCCUGCCAGAUUACAGAUGGUUCACUACAGUUGACAUCCUGGCUGACAACUGUGAAAAAGAACCUUGGAUUAUUUUAUUUUAUUUUU